UAUAGCUGCAUGUAUAAAUGCCAAGAAAUUCUGUUGGUGGAACCAUUUCUUCAUCUGAGAUGAAUGAACUGCUUCCACAAUGAAGAACACAGGUGUGCUUGUGGUCCUUUAUGUAGCUCUUUGCUAUUUCUUAGGAGUGAACAGUAAUGAUGAAAAUGAUGAAAAUAAGGUUUAUUGUGACAAGUACAUGGUUUUUCAACAAUUCAUU